AUUGAACGCUGGCGGCAGGCCUAACACAUGCAAGUCGAGCGGAUGAAGGGAGCUUGCUCCUGGAUUCAGCGGCGGACGGGUGAGUAAUGCCUAGGAAUCUGCCUGGUAGUGGGGGAUAACGUCCGGAAACGGGCGCUAAUACCGCAUACGUCCUGAGGGAGAAAGUGGGGGAUCUUCGGACCUCACGCUAUCAGAUGAGCCUAGGUCGGAUUAGCUAGUUGGUGGGGUAAAGGCUUACCAAGGCGACGAUCCGUAACUGGUCUGAGAGGAUGAUCAGUCACACGGGAACUGAGACACGGUCCAGACUCCUACGGGAGGCAGCAGUGGGGAAUAUUGGACGAGGGGCGAAAGCCUGAUCCAGCCAUGCCGCGUGUGUGAAGAAGGUCUUCGGAUGGUAAAGCACUUUAAGUUGGGAGGAAGGGCAGUAAGUUAAUACCUGGCUGUUUUGACGGUACCAACAGAAUAAGCACCGGCUAACUUCGUG
rnacentral:rRNA from 1 species